rnacentral:rRNA from 2 species
UAUCAAUAAGCGGAGGAAAAGAAACCAACAGGGAUUGCCCCAGUAACGGCGAGUGAAGCGGCAACAGCUCAAAUUUGAAAUCUGGCCCCUAGGGCCCGAGUUGUAAUUUGCAGAGGAUGCUUUUGGCGAGGUGCCUUCCGAGUUCCCUGGAACGGGACGCCAUAGAGGGUGAGAGCCCCGUCUGGUUGGAUACCGAGCCUCUGUAAAGCUCCUUCGACGAGUCGAGUAGUUUGGGAAUGCUGCUCUAAAUGGGAGGUAUAUGUCUUCUAAAGCUAAAUAUUGGCCAGAGACCGAUAGCGCACAAGUAGAGUGAUCGAAAGAUGAAAAGCACUUUGAAAAGAGGGUUAAAAAGUACGUGAAAUUGUUGAAAGGGAAGCGCUCAUGACCAGACUUGGGCCCGGUGAAUCACCCAGCGUUCUCGCUGGGGCACUUUGCCGGGCUCAGGCCAGCAUCAGUUUGCCUUGGGGGAUAAAGACUUCGGGAAUGUGGCUCCUCCGGGAGUGUUAUAGCCCGUUGUGUAAUACCCUGGGGCGGACUGAGGUUCGCGCAUCUUGCAAGGAUGCUGGCGUAAUGGUCAUCAGCGACCCGUCUUGAAACACGGACCAAGGAGUCGUCUUCGUAUGCGAGUGUUCGGGUGCAAAGCCCCUACGCGUAAUGAAAGUGAACGCAGGUGAGAGCUUCGGCGCAUCAUCGACCGAUCCUGAUGUUCUCGGAUGGAUUUGAGUAAGAGCAUACGGGGCCGGACCCGAAAGAAGGUGAACUAUGCUUGAAUAGGGUGAAGCCAGGGGAAACCCUGGUGGAGGCUCGCAGCGGUUCUGACGUGCAAAUCGAUCGUCAAAUUUGAGCAUGGGGGCGAAAGACUAAUCGAACCUUCUAGUAGCUGGUUUC